GACGAACGCUGGCGGCGUGCCUAAUACAUGCAAGUCGAACGAACCGCGACUAAGUGCUUGCACUAAGUCAAGGUGAGUGGCGAACGGGUGAGUAACACGUGGGUAACCUACCUCAUAGUGGGGGAUAACAGUCGGAAACGACUGCUAAUACCGCAUAGGACAUAGGAUCACAUGAUCCAGUGAGGAAAGGUGGCGCAAGCUAUCGCUAAGAGAUGGACCCGCGGUGCAUUAGCUAGUUGGUAGGGUAAAGGCCUACCAAGGCGAUGAUGCAUAGCCGACCUGAGAGGGUGAUCGGCCACAUUGGGACUGAGACACGGCCCAAACUCCUACGGGAGGCAGCAGUAGGGAAUCUUCCGCAAUGGACGCAAGUCUGACGGAGCAACGCCGCGUGAGUGAAGAAGGUCUUCGGAUCGUAAAGCUCUGUUGUUAGAGAAGAACAGCACAUAGAGUAACUGCUAUGCGUGUGACGGUAUCUAACCAGAAAGCCACGGCUAACUACGUG
rnacentral:rRNA from 1 species